CACAAGGGAAUGAUUCCUUUCUAACCAUUACCUCUUCUGUUCAUUUUCAAGCCCUUGCCUCUUUCCAUUUCUCUAGGUCCAUCCGGCUUUGAUCAAUCAUGUGAUCAUUUCUUUCUAGUUGGUUUUUGUAGCACCUCAGAACACCCUCCAUCCUUUCACCAAAACUGCAGUGUAAUAGGGUCUAGAUCAAGAUAUUGUGAGCCACAGUGUCUAGAUGGUGGCAACAUGAAUGGUGACAAUCUAUUCUGCAUGUGCAGCUGAAGUUCUCACCAGGAGAGAAAGUAGUAUGGCCUUGAAGGAUACGUCUCCUGAAGACUUCAAGAAAGAGAAAGUGGAGGGGGGAAGCGGUGAGAGAGAGAAGAGAAUAUCUGGAUUCUGACACUGUUUUCAGAAGAGGAGGGAACGAGCCCAGGGGAAGCUGUGGUGUCUGCUACACGAGUGCUGGCUGCCCACCCUCCAGGUACUAUGCUGCUGCUGCUGCUGCUAAGUAACUUCAGUCGUGUCCGACUCUGUGCGACCCCAUACACGGCAGCCCACCAGAAAGAACACUGGAGUGAGUUGCCAUUUCCUUCUCCAAUGCAUGAAAGUGAAAAGUAAAAGUGAAGUCACUCAGUCGUGUCUGACUCUUCGCGACCCCAUGGACUGAAGCUUACCAGGCUCCUCCAUCCAUGGGAUUUUCCAGGCAGGAAUACUGGAGUGGGGUGCCAUUGCCUUCUCCAGAUUCGUGCCUUCUAAGCAUUUCAGAUGAAUGGGAUUCUGCAACAUAGUCUUUUGCAUCUGCCUUGCCUUAUAUAACAUAAUGUUUCUGUGGUUCGUCCAUAUUGUAGUAAAUUGCUGCAAGUUUGAUCACUGGGUUAAGAUGGUGACACAUGGAUCUCUCUAUUAUCAAGGCAUCUUUGUGAAAAUGAACAAAAGAAAGAAAAAAAAAAAACAAAAAAACACAAGUCUUCAUAGGCACAUUUGGAUCCAAAUGGAUAUGUAAAGAGGAACUGAGCGGGAAGGGAACUGUCUAACACCAAAGGCCAGAGCAAGCUCAACAUCACCUCUACCCAGCCACCUCCUAAGACAUAAUUCACUAUACACUCUCAUGUUUUCUCAACCAAAAUGCCAUAUCUAAUUGCCAUAUAUAAGUGGAGUGGAAUGCACAAAUCCUUUGUGAUAGCAGAAACUGAUUAUAUCUGCUUUGGUAUUAGUGUUCAGAGUUACAUUGAAAUAAUACAGUUUUAUUAAAAUUUCCA
ensembl:lncRNA